rnacentral:rRNA from 1 species
UUUGUACACACCACGCCCGUCGCUACUACCGAUUGAAUGGCUCAGUGAGGCUUUCGGACUGGCUUAGGGAGGUUGGCAACGACCACCCCGAGCCGGAAAGUUCGUCAAACUCGGUCAUUUAGAGGAAGUAAAAGUCGUAACAAGGUUUCCGUAGGUGAACCUUCGGAAGGAUCAUUA